AUGGACACUUACCUCGAAAAGGCUGCUAGGAAUAAGCAGAGAGCCUGCAACAAACAGCAGGAAGAACUGAGGAAAGAGUGUCAUGUUGCCAAUCAAAAGGUCUGGUGUUACAUGAAGAGCAGUCGGCCACACAGGGGCUGCUGAGACAUUAAAUGGGGUACUGCACACCCUUUUGGUGCUCCACAAUUCAAGACGGGUAAAGUCAAACUGCAGCUGACUCAGAGAAGGACUCAGAUUAAGAGUUUAACUGUGUGAUGCUAAAAGAAAAC
rnacentral:lncRNA from 12 species